rnacentral:tRNA from 1 species
UUCUCGAUAGCUCAGCCGGCAGAGCGACGCACUGUUAAUGCGUAUGUCCGUGGUUCGAUCCCACGUCGAGGAGCCA